UAAAGGGGUCUUAGUGCAAAUGCGGAUUCAGGCUUGUCUGUCUGGUCCCCCUGACUCUGACUUUUCCCCUUUGCAGAUGCGGCUCCCAGUCCUUGCCAUUGGAGAGCCAUUAUUGUGGCUCUGUUCCUGGGAUUAAUGCCAUUGUCCUUGUGAACCUGCUGCAGAGAAAAACGCCCUAACGCUGGUGGGCUAGAAUCUCGUAUCGCAGACGCCUGAUGAGAAGGUGUACAGGCCGACGGGGACUGACGGGAAGGCAGGGGGAGCAGGCUAUUGGGUGAAAUCCUGGCCGUAGUGAAGUCAGUGGGAGUUUUGCAAUGACUUCUGUGGAGUCCAGAUUUCACCCACAGAUGUAGCUUGGUCCCCAGAAUCUCCGGUAAAAUGCCCCUACUCAUUGGAGAAUAUUCCGAGCAACCUUUGUCUAAAGGAGAUGUUUCUCCAUGGUAAAGAGAAAUAAAAGUACUGGAUAUUUGAGAAUACUUUAAUACUCAAGUAUCGUGCUGAGUUGGGAUUAGCAAUGCAGUUACUGACCCACACGUCUAGUGAUACGUAUUCAAAGCCCUGCUUACUGAUUGCCUGAAGUGGUUGGAUUUCCAUAAUGACUCUAAGGUUCUCUCCCUAAUGCUGCCAGUUUCAACCUGUGGUCUCUGCGGAACUGUUCUAGGCAUGGUGCAGAGAGGGCAAGGUGGACUCUGCAUUCAGACCUUGGAAAGGAGCAGCUGACUGUCUGUCGAGCUAGGUACUUGUAUGACUUCCACCGCUGAAGUAUCUGCCAAGACUUGGAAACAGCCAGUACCAUGGUCAGCAUUAGAGCACUGCAGCAGCAUGUCCUCAUCACCGCAGUGUAGACGUACCCUGAGGGCCUUUUGCAUCAUUCUGGCCGCUCCAAGCGGGUAGAAUGAAAAGGGGUAGAAAUUACAGUUACAUUCACUUUAAGGCUGCUCUAGGUUUCCAGAGUCAUGUAUAGGGGCCUCAUUGUCGAUGUUUAUGUGUAACCAAGGAAGUCAUUUACACCAGAAUAAAGUCAUUUCUGUUCCAGCA